rnacentral:rRNA from 1 species
GAUGUUAGCGGCGGACGGGUGAGUAACACGUGGGUAACCUGCCUGUAAGACUGGGAUAACUCCGGGAAACCGGAGCUAAUACCGGAUAGUUCCUUGAACCGCAUGGUUCAAGGAUGAAAGACGGUUUCGGCUGUCACUUACAGAUGGACCCGCGGCGCAUUAGCUAGUUGGUGAGGUAACGGCUCACCAAGGCGACGAUGCGUAGCCGACCUGAGAGGGUGAUCGGCCACACUGGGACUGAGACACGGCCCAGACUCCUACGGGAGGCAGCAGUAGGGAAUCUUCCGCAAUGGACGAAAGUCUGACGGAGCAACGCCGCGUGAGUGAUGAAGGUUUUCGGAUCGUAAAGCUCUGUUGUUAGGGAAGAACAAGUGCAAGAGUAACUGCUUGCACCUUGACGGUACCUAACCAGAAAGCCACGGCUAACUACGUGCCAGCAGCCGCGGUAAUACGUAGGUGGCAAGCGUUGUCCGGAAUUAUUGGGCGUAAAGGGCUCGCAGGCGGUUUCUUAAGUCUGAUGUGAAAGCCCCCGGCUCAACCGGGGAGGGUCAUUGGAAACUGGGAAACUUGAGUGCAGAAGAGGAGAGUGGAAUUCCACGUGUAGCGGUGAAAUGCGUAGAGAUGUGGAGGAACACCAGUGGCGAAGGCGACUCUCUGGUCUGUAACUGACGCUGAGGAGCGAAAGCGUGGGGAGCGAACAGGAUUAGAUACCCUGGUAGUCCACGCCGUAAACGAUGAGUGCUAAGUGUUAGGGGGUUUCCGCCCCUUAGUGCUGCAGCUAACGCAUUAAGCACUCCGCCUGGGGAGUACGGUCGCAAGACUGAAACUCAAAGGAAUUGACGGGGGCCCGCACAAGCGGUGGAGCAUGUGGUUUAAU